GUAGGACUACCCGCUGAACUUA
rnacentral:rRNA from 1 species